UUCAAUGUCUCUACUUAAGUUUCAAUUCACUGAAGAUUGCAAGAGAGGAACCGUUCGCUAAAAUGGCGAUAGGAUUCCUGAUUUUGACCGGCUUGCUGGCCUUCGGAACAUACUGGACCACCAGGUACCUGAUCUCGGCGGCGGAGCCUAGCAAUCCCGCAACUCUCUCGCCAAAUGACGACAGUAUACUACGCUUGAUGUUCAACAAGUCUGGUUGACAUUGCAAUCAGCUGUCCCGCGUCAACUUGCAUACCUACUUAGCGGACUCGCGAGGAAGACAUUUAUCGCUGCAACUAAUAGUGCUUAAAUAUUAGUCAAAUUGUAUUGAUAAUAUUCUCUUUUUAUUCAAUUUUAAUUUCCACUGGAUGCAUCAGUAAGACAAAGUGCCUGCUUUUUCUGAUGUUUCAUAUUUGCAACAUGGUUCCAGUCCCACGUAAGCGGCAACUUUAAACAUCUCAUCUUGAAGCAA